rnacentral:rRNA from 1 species
GACAGAGGUGCCGAGCGUUAGGCGGAAUCACUGGGCUUAAAGCGUGUGUAGGCGGACUUCUAAGUACCUUGUGAAAUCCCACGGCUUAACCGUGGAACUGCUUGGUAUACUGGUUGUCUUGGGCCAUCUAGGGGCUAGCGGAACAAACGGUGGAGCGGUGAAAUGCGUAGAUAUCGUUUGGAACGCCAAUGGUGAAAACAGGUUGAC